GUUUAUCACUGCUCAAUGCCUCUAAUGCAGCCCUCUUAUCCGCAGCAGUCAUUGCAUUCAACGCCGCCUUGUAUGGACAGUCCCUCGCUCGAUGUGGUCCAUCACAAAUGAAACAACCACUGAAUUUGCUGCCCUUCUCCUUGCUCUUUGAAGUUCCAGCCUCCUGCUUUUCCUUCCCUCGAUCUUCAUGUGCAUUGCCAUUUUCACAUUUCUUCCACUCCUUUGCCUUGUCCUUCUUUCCGUCGUUGGACUUUGAAGCAGAAUUAUCCUCAUUAAUAUGAAAAUCGCCCAAUGCA
rnacentral:lncRNA from 1 species